AGUUUUUUGAGUCUGUGAAGAGGUUUCGUAAAACACCAACCCAUUAGGGCUGAUCAGACUUUCAAGAUAAGUGAAGUU
rnacentral:pre_miRNA from 1 species